UAGGGAAUCUUCCGCAAUGGACGCAAGUCUGACGGAGCAACGCCGCGUGAGUGAAGAAGGAUUUCGGUUCGUAAAACUCUGUUGUUAGAGAAGAACAGCGCAUAGAGUAACUGUUAUGCGUGUGACGGUAUCUAACCAGAAAGCCACGGCUAACUACGUGCCAGCAGCCGCGGUAAUACGUAGGUGGCAAGCGUUGUCCGGAUUUAUUGGGCGUAAAGCGAGCGCAGGCGGUCAAUUAAGUCUGAUGUGAAAGCCCCCGGCUCAACCGGGGAGGGUCAUUGGAAACUGGUUGACUUGAUUGCAGAAGAGGAGAGUGGAAUUCCAUGUGUAGCGGUGAAAUGCGUAGAUAUAUGGAGGAACACCAGUGGCGAAGGCGACUCUCUGGUCUGUAACUGACGCUGAGGUUCGAAAGCGUGGGUAGCAAACAGG
rnacentral:rRNA from 1 species